CCUGGGUGCUGAUAAGCAAAAGGUGCUUGAAUGUGAAGGUCAUAAUCGGCUUUAGCUGAUU
ensembl:snoRNA